rnacentral:lncRNA from 1 species
UGUAAGGAAGUGAAUUCUCGAAAUACGAGGAUUGUACUUCACCCAGGAUCGACUGACUGUCGAAAGUAAACCCUUUGUGGGAGUUGAGAAUGUCCAAAGCACAAAGAGUGCCUUGGAGUUGAGUCCGCGAGAGCAAAUGAGGCAAAUGGCAUCAUUGGGCAGAAGUUGCUCUCGGGGACCGGUCUCUGCAGGUGAGAGACCGGUUCCCUCGGCUGGGUGUUGCGGGGUUGCGUGAUGCAACCGGUCCCUGGUGGUGAGGGACCGGUUCCCGAACGUGGCCCAAGCGUGAGAUGCCAAAAUUGGCUAAGUCCUGAAAAUCAAGCUCUCGGGGACCGGUCUCUCAGGUGAGGACCGGUCUCCCGAGGACCGGUCUCCCGGGGAGAGACCGGUUCCCGAACGCGUGCGCCCGAGGGAAGCUCUCGGGGACCGGUCCCAAGUCGGGGAGACCGGUCCCUCCGCGCGAAAACUGCCCAGUAAGGGCAGUGCACAGGGGUGAAAGUGGAGGGGCUUUUGUGCAAAAUGGCAUUUAUUUGAGUGGGCUGAGCCCUCUCUCUCCCUCACACUCUCUCAUUUCCUCUCUCUCACUCUCAUUUCUCUCUCUCUCUCUCUCUCUCUAGAAAGGAAAGAAGGAGAAGAAGAACAAGAAGGAGAGGAAGGAAAAGAAGAGGAAGAUAAGGAAGGAGAAGAAGAAGGAGAUCAAGAGGAAGGCUUUGAGCACCUCCAACUCCCUCUCCUCUUCCCAUUGGAGUAGCUCUUGAGGUAAGCUACUAAACCCUAGCUUCUAGAACUUAGGGUUUUUGGGUUUUAUGCCUUGGAAUGGGUCAAAUGGACCCUAAGCAAGCUUCUAAAUAGAUCAAUCCCAAGAAUCUAGGGAUUUAUGGGGUGAUUUGCUAUAGGUGCAAAUCUAGGGUUCCAAAAUGAGGUUUUUGUAAAUGUAUGAGAUUGAUCUCAUUUGAAGCCUUGGAAACCCUAUUGAUAGGUCCCAAAACGCGGGGGCGAAGUCGAUUUUGGCAUUCGGCGAACCGACGUGGAGUUCUCGGCAAAAUUGGGCCGGGCUAGCAUUGAUUCGGGCGAGGAAGGCUAAAGCCUUUUUGCAAAGCUCGCCGACAAGAAUUUCCAAAGCCUCUACAUUGAUAAGAAGGUGGGGGGUGUCAUCCGAAACUUUCGAACUCCUUUCUAUGUCUUAGAUUGCAUUUAAUCUCAUCUCUUGCAUGUUGCAUUGUAGGAUUGCAUGGUAGCUCCAUCCUUAUGCUUUCUAAAUGAUAACCUAGUGUACUUGGAACGCUUGGUAACUAGAUAGGUGAGGAUUGGGUCGGAACGUGGAUCCUAUGAUGCUAAAGAUAGAGAUGAACCCGAUGGGGGUAUUGAUGACAUAGAAAGUAGUGUUAUUGUCAAAGAACAAACGAGUGGCAUCCAAAUAUUGAAUGAUAACGAGUGGCAUUAACGUAGUGUAAAUAACACUAGAGGUCGAAGGACCUAGGGAUAGGUGGAUCCCUUAGAGAAUGCCUUGUGAACAAUGAAUUUAGAAAACUAAAUAACAUUGCAUGAAUGUCGGGAACCAAUGAUUCCGCGAUAGUCGUUGACCCUUGUGUAGGGCGUCCUCACUUGGAGAGGAUUCGAUUGGGUAUUGACUCUAGUUGUAGAGUGUCCUCACUUGGAGAGGAUAGAUCUAGCUCACAGUCUGCGUUUAGGAUGGUAUAGCCAUCCAAUCCCCACAUGGAGGGGAUUGUCGUCGAGUACUCCGGAGUGUCGCGCGACUAGGACCACUUGGAGGUCCGGACCACAUGGAGGUCCGCAGACGGUCCCGGGCUUGGGUGCACUUGGAGCUCCCUCCCCACUUUGGGAUUUGAAGGUGAGUCAUGGGCGAGCCCUAGGGCCACGCCACAGAUUGGGUAAAUGAAAAGGGUUAAAGGUUUAUAAAUGUCAUUGAACAUAACUAUUCGAACAUGGAUCGAACUUGUUAGCAUGGUAGCAAACCUUUAUUAUAUGAUGCAUGCAUGCAUAUUCAUGAUUAUGGGCAUAGUAGCAUAGUUUUCCUACUACUGCAUUUACAGCUUUCAGAUACAUAUCUAUCUAUCUAUCCGUUGUUACUUGUGCCCACUUGGACCUAGUGGGGAGAUCGGCAGGGUCGGCGGCCGAGCCCACUGGGAACUAUGGAAGAUAGUUCUCACCCCACUCUAUUUCCAGUGGUAGGUUCAGGGCUGCAGAGAGAGGACCGCGGCAAGGGCGUCGCGCCCGACCAGUGAGACCGUGGUAGUAUAGUAGCUUUCCUUUUUGCAUUAGUCACCUAUGUAUUGAGAGAGAUUCUUGUAGGUGAGGUUGGAGAGCUAUGUAUUUUGGAUGAAAAAUGAUGUAAUGAAUGUAACUAAUGUAAUAGUUAGUAAAUUACUCUCUUUAUUUCACUUGUUUACCUCGUGGAUUACUUGCUCUUCUGGUUGUUGGCACUGUUUGUGCCCUCGUUGAAUGUGUAUGUUUAGAAUUUAAUUUCCUGGGUAAAUUCUUGUACACAUUCCUGUCGUCGAGCCUUGAGCGGGCAGGGGAGGUGCUGUCCGUUCGGCGGUCCGCCGCCGCGGCCGAACCGUGCCAAAUCGGUAGUGGUUUCGGGGCGGGGCGUGACAGCC